AUGAUACUACGAGAUCACGUGGGAGCAGUCAUUUUCGCGUCUUGCAGGUUCCUCCCGAGAUGUGCAAGUCCUCUUGAGGCUGAAUUAUCAGCCUGCAUGGAGGGAGUUACCCUGGCUCUCGAGUGGAGCAUGGCGCCUCUCGUCUUGGAGAUGGACUGUGCUGCUGCAGUAAGCAUGAUUAAGGAAACAUCAUUGGACAGAUCCCCCAAUGCGUCUCUUGUUGGAGAGAUUAAGAGGAAGCUAGCUGUAGGUAGGGAGCAUGCAAUCAGGUUGAUUCCUAGAGAGCAAAACGGUACCAGUCAUGCCCUUUCGCAAAUGGGAUGCUCGAUCCCACGUACGGCCGUCUGGCUGCGUUCGGCACCUGACGAGAUUGUUGGUUUAUGUAAGCAAGACUGUGGCGAAUCCACUUGA
rnacentral:rRNA from 1 species